UGGAAAAAGACUUAAAACACUCCAUCUUCACACCCACUUUAUCAGUAUCACAGUCCCUCAUUGUCUCUCAUCAUUGUUUAUCAUUCCCAAAUCCAAUUAUCCAUAAAAAGCAAAAUACCUAGCCAGGACCUCCACGGUGGUUCAGUGCUCAAUGCGGACGAUGACGAUGAUGAUAGCGAUGGGUCCCGUGUUUACAUAGUGACCUCCGGCGACCCAAAACAUUGGCUAAACGGUGGAUGAGAGCGGCAUCUCGGUUAAAUCGACGACUGCGUACACUAUUUCUGAUGUUUUAAGGUCAACGCAGUCCCGAUCUAGUGUUGCAUGUGGUUUUCUCGACCUGUCUUGUGUUGGCUAGGGUUUAACGGUAAGCUUCCGACCUCUUUCCGAUCUUCCAGCUACAGUUUUUUUCUUUGCCGGCGUUUAACGACAUUCCCGUCGUAUACUCGUAUUUGGGACUGUUAACAACAAUGAAGUGGGUUGCACAGUUUUUUUCCUUUAUCGCCGAUUGAAGACAAUGCCACCACAACGCGGUGUUGUGUCAUAGGACUUGGGUGAAGUUUUGAAGCUCAGAUCAAAUUUACGGCGAGACACAUCCAAGCAAUCCUUCAUCAUGCAUGUUAUAGAUUCGUGUAGAUCGGCAAUAGUCAAGGUUAAACUCAGUCAGUGCGCAUUUCCGGUGAGCCGGUUUCCGGCAUGUGGUUAAGGUGGUGAUCACAACAAAGAUACACACAGAAGGUGAUGACGUUAGUGGUGGUCUUGGGUGCUCAGAUGAUUGUAGGAGAGAAGAGAGAGUGUAAACUGACAGAUACAACACCAAACCUUACAGCUCCAACGCAACUGUGUUGAUUUGAAGAUGCAUGGUCUUUCUAGAAGAAUGAAGGCUAGUUUUGUAAUUUUAGACAAAGGGUAAUGUGUGUCGGUGGCACUGUAGCCACCGACCUUUCAUUUUAAGAUUAUAUAGAUAUCUUGAAUUCUAAAUAAAAUAGAAGCGCUAAAUGGCUACAUGACAAAUAUAUAGUGGCGAAAAUUAAAAAAGAAAUUAAAAAAAUGUUUUCCUCCUCCUUCUUUACUGAAACAUUUUGAGUAGAACAGAACCGACAAACCAUUUCAAUAUGCCAUUUAAAAUUGUUUUCAUUGCUUAUCAUGAGUUAGCGUUAGAAAAUGACAAUGAUAUUUGCUUGAUUAAUUUUCAUCAUCAGACAAAUAAUUAUAUUCAAUUAACUCAUUCAAAUCACUAAAUUCAAAUGUUAAAUUCAUUAAACCUUUCGCUCAUUAUUUUUCAUUUCUCCAUGAGUUCACUGGCAUUGGGAAACUCAGCCACUAUCGUCACAGAUAAUCGAGCCGGUGACCAAGCCAGAUAUACAUCAAAAAUUCGGAUGAAUAUAUUAUAAUUGCAAUUUAUAAUAUAUCCUAAAUCAUUUGUUAAUUUAGUACCUCAUAAUUUAUAUAAACUACUUUAAUUCAUAUUGUUAUAAUUUAAAAUUGAUUAUUUAUUUAUUCCAAAAGCUCAAGCUUUUUAUGCAAGUUCUUCCGAUAUGUAGCAGAUUGUUGAAUAAGAGUUCAUGGUUUGGUAAAUGA
rnacentral:lncRNA from 1 species